GAGAUGCGGAUUUUUGCUGCCGAAAAGAUACUCUUGCUCCCCACCCCCUCCUUUCUUUUUGACAGUCAGUUAAUAAAGACUCAACAAUAAGCAGCUGCCAGUGAUGUCAUUUGGGACUUUGUCCACGGAGCUUGUAUUUACAAGCUCGGAGCAACCACGGAGCCGCAGCCGCCGGGGGAAGCGGAGUCUCCGCAAACUUGCUCUGAAUUCGCUGCAGGAACUUUGUGGCUGCUUUGCUUGGGCUGUUCUGGAAAACUGCGCUUGUUCUCUGAGCCCGGCCUUUUCAUGCUUCACAAAUAAACAGAGGAUAAACUCGAGAGGAAAUGUGGAGCUGGGGAGAGUGGUUGCAGUUCCUGUGUUUGUCUCCAGGACUGUGAUAUGUGUUGACUGCAGAGCUGACUACAAUGACCCAGGCAACAGAAGGGGGACUCUCAUAAACCACAAAGGAAAAUAAAUAACCUCACCCAUGGAGGGAAAGAGACAGUUUGAGAAAAGGGACUUUGGAAAAAGGCUCUCUCUAGAUAGCAGUCUCAUGGUAAGUACUGGAUAUUCAUUUACCGCUAUGUGUUUUGGCUUAAAAUGCAUUAUUCUUUGAUGCUGAUUUCCUAAACUCUGUGCUUUUGAAACCCCUAUUCCAGUUACCCCCUUAGCAAUAUCCCCUGAGAUUUUGUUUUGCUCAUGUUUUAUAAGGUCAAAAGCUAGAACAUUAUGGGAAUGUUUGUAUAGUGUCCUAAUAAGUAAAUGUCAUAAUCUCUCAGCAUUAUGUAUGAUUACAUUAAUUCCAACUGAAGUAAGCUUAAACCCACACAAAAACACUACUGCAUGGCUGAUGCCAAAUGCCAGGCCGAUACACAGUUGUUCUAGCACCCAUUUAUCUUAAGGCUGGGGGUCCGUUGAACAAGACUUCGGCAGAAUUUCAGAUAUUGAAGAAUGAAGAAAAUCUCUGCCAUCUUAGGUAUGUAAAUCCAUCCUGUGGUCCAUAAACUUUCUUUCUGAGUUGAAUGCUGAUGGGCGUCAUUCUUAACAACUUGGUUGGGUUUGCUUUCCUGUAUGAGAACCUGGCGAGUCCAAGGAAAUAGAUGAAGUCACUGAUUUUUUUUUUCUUUCUUUAUAUAUGUAUAUAUUUUUAGGGUUGCACCUGUGGCAUGUCGAAGUUUCUAGGCUAGGAGUCAAAUCAGAGCUACAGCUGCCAGCCUACACCACAGCCACAGCAACACCAGAUCUGAGUCGCAUCUGCGACCUACACCACAGCUCAUGGCAACACCAGAUCCUUAACCCACUGAGUGAGGCCAGGAUUGAAUCCACAUCCUCAUGGAUACUAGUCAGGUUUGUCACUGCUGAGCCACAACAGGAACUCCUUCAAGUCCCUGAUUUCUGAAGGUGGGCCCUUCCUUCCAGUCCAAGCUAAGAUACUGGAUAUUGACAUCACCUAUUCAAUGAUGCCUCUGAACAAAGUAAGAAAUCAAAUGAAGUGAGUCACUCCUUUCUCUCUUGGUCACCUACUCAAGAAGAAAUGGAUGUUGGAUGUUGUUUAUGGAUGCGCUUUUUUCAUUUGUGUACUUGUAGCCCCUGGCCCAGAGUUGUGAUUACAGUAGUUGUCCAAUAAAAUAUUUGCUGAAUUGAUUUAUCAGUUGCCCUUUUCCAAUUCUGCUGCUGUAGGUCUGGCUCUGUCAGGGUCUAAAUGAGCUAUUUACUCCAUGACUGCUGAGGUUUCCCAUCUCAAGCUCUUCACAGAUGGGAGUUUCUGGUAACUGAAAAAAGAAUUGCAUUAAAAUGCUGUGUCCAGGUCUUCUCUUGUUAUUAGAGUCAACUUCUGUGUCUCUGUGAGCUCUGCCUCUGCAUUCCUUCAGAGGCUGAGAACUCUUAGAGGAUUUUAAAUUCUUCUCCCAGUGGAUAUGCCCUCUUUUCAUCUCUGAGGUCUAUCUCUUCAGGUAGAGUGUGGUGAAAAUUGUGUGUGUGUGUGUGUGUGUGUGUGUGUGUGUGUGUGUUUAUAUGUCUAUACCCUUUGCAAUCUCUAGGGAAUCUUAGGAUAAAAGGAUAAUUUCUCAGCCUCUCCUUUUUUUCUUUACUAAGGAAAACACUUCUUACAAAUCAACCCACCAAUAGGGUCUGUCAUAUGUCUCACCAGAUGCUCACGUAGUAUAAUAGGAGCAGCACAGGAAAGUUUCUCUGAACCCCAAAGUAUCAUCCUUGCUGAUUAAUCCCUAAAACCUAAAUUCUGUCUUGGGGGCCAGAGAAAAUACAAAGACCCUGAAAAGCAAGCAUGCUAAGCUAUUGUCUUUCAAUCAUUCACAGUAGCACUCAUUAAUAGAAGGUCUUGGAUCAUUUCCAGAUGUCAGCCAGAUGAGCAGAAUUUCCUUGAGGCAGUUGGUAAACAAAAGAUUGCAGAGCACAGAGGGCUGGCCUGCAGUGCUGUGCUGGGGUGGGGGGAGAGGAGGGGAAGCAGAUUAUCAAGAGGGCACUGGGUAUCUGAAAAUCUGAGGAGUUGCAAUGAAAUUUUUGCCCUCUUUUAAAUUUUCCUUAGGGACAGGCUUGACUGUGAACAUAAAGCUCGUUGUAUUACCUGUGCUGGCUGAAAACCCCAAACCAAACUUGUACUCCCAUUGGCUUGCAGCUCUACCCUGUGUAUUGUGGGGGCUGUGAAUCUGUUUCUUGGCUGACAGCAUUAAAGAAUGUUGAGAAAAUGAGAGCUUUUUGCUUGGUACCACCUAAGAAAUGUUAUCCUGUUAAAUCUCCCUAAAUGAUGCUUAGGAGAGUUUUUAUACUAGCGAAAUGUCUUCCUUGUUUCCUAGAAGCAGACUGAGGAUGUUUAUUGGGAGAAUCCUGAAAACGAAAAUGCUCUUGCAUGACUGUGUGGCCCUGUGUACGAGGAUGCUUAGACGCCACUCAUCAUUAUACAGCUUAGGACAUGUGACUCAUUUUGCCUUCUAUUUUUACUGAUAGGUUCUUUCCUCAUAUAGAUGCUGCUCCUGGGACAGUGGCAGGAACAGGGUUCUUGUCAAGUUGGUUCUGAGGGUGUGAUACCCACUGAAAGGCCCUUAAAGUGAAUUUUAUUGUGAUUGUCAGAGAGACUGACAGGGAGGAGAUGAAAGCUAACCGGCCUGUAAAGGACUUGAACCCAAUGCUGCACCCUCCUCUUUGGCUCCAGACCGAAACCACACAAAUAACUAGGCAAGAAGCAUACAAGGAUGAUUCUAGGACAAGGUUGCUGGGAAAUGUAAGAAAAAAAAAAA
rnacentral:lncRNA from 1 species